CCGUGCCAGCAGCCGCGGUAAUACGGAGGGUGCAAGCGUUGUCCGGAAUUAUUGGGCGUAAAGAGCUCGUAGGCGGUUUGUCGCGUCUGCUGUGAAGACCCGAGGCUCAACCUCGGGCCUGCAGUGGGUACGGGCAGACUAGAGUGCGGUAGGGGAGAUUGGAAUUCCUGGUGUAGCGGUGGAAUGCGCAGAUAUCAGGAGGAACACCAAUGGCGAAGGCAGAUCUCUGGGCCGUAACUGACGCUGAGGAGCGAAAGCAUGGGGAGCGAACAGGAUUAGAUACCCUGGUAGUCCAUGCCGUAAACGUUGGGAACUAGAUGUGGGGACCAUUCCACGGUCUCCGUGUCGCAGCUAACGCAUUAAGUUCCCCGCCUGGGGAGUACGGCCGCAAGGCUAAAACUCAAAGGAAUUGACGGGGGCCCGCACAAGCGGCGGAGCAUGCGGAUUAAUUCGAUGCAACGCGAAGAACCUUACCAAGGCUUGACAUAUAGAGGAAACGUCUGGAAACAGUCGCCCCGCAAGGUCUCUAUACAGGUGGUGCAUGGCUGUCGUCAGCUCGUG
rnacentral:rRNA from 1 species